rnacentral:rRNA from 1 species
GACGGAAGGCCCUGCUUGCAGGGUACUCGAGUGGCGAACGGGUGAGUAACACGUGGGUGAUCUGCCCUGCACUUCGGGAUAAGCCUGGGAAACUGGGUCUAAUACCGGAUAGGACCAUCGUUUAGUGUCGGUGGUGGAAAGUUUUUCGGUGCAGGAUGAGCCCGCGGCCUAUCAGCUUGUUGGUGGGGUAAUGGCCUACCAAGGCGUCGACGGGUAGCCGGCCUGAGAGGGUGGACGGCCACAUUGGGACUGAGACACGGCCCAGACUCCUACGGGAGGCAGCAGUGGGGAAUAUUGCACAAUGGGCGCAAGCCUGAUGCAGCGACGCCGCGUGGGGGAUGAAGGCCUUCGGGUUGUAAACUCCUUUCAGCAGGGACGAAGCUUUUGUGACGGUACCUGCAGAAGAAGCACCGGCUAACUACGUGCCAGCAGCCGCGGUAAUACGUAGGGUGCGAGCGUUGUCCGGAAUUACUGGGCGUAAAGAGCUCGUAGGUGGUUUGUCGCGUCGUCUGUGAAAUUCCGGGGCUUAACUCCGGGCGUGCAGGCGAUACGGGCAUAACUUGAGUGCUGUAGGGGAGACUGGAAUUCCUGGUGUAGCGGUGAAAUGCGCAGAUAUCAGGAGGAACACCGAUGGCGAAGGCAGGUCUCUGGGCAGUUACUGACGCUGAGGAGCGAAAGCAUGGGUAGCGAACAGGAUUAGAUACCCUGGUAGUCCAUGCCGUAAACGGUGGGCGCUAGGUGUGGGGGUCUUCCACGACUUCUGUGCCGUAGCUAACGCAUUAAGCGCCCCGCCUGGGGAGUACGGCCGCAAG